rnacentral:misc_RNA from 1 species
CUUCCAUUAGCCGAAACCCGGAGUUCAAUGAUCCGGAUAUCUUCAACCCAACCGUCAGCAACCCAACGCACGCUCAGUUCACCGCCAGCAUUCUGAACAUGCCCACGGAUUUGAUCGCACCAGACGCCGACAACCGCAUCUGGCUCGGGACAUUCACCUUCCAGGUUGAGGGAGCGGUUGGCUCCUCCAC